rnacentral:lncRNA from 1 species
ACAUAAAAGAAAUUCUAUUUCAUCGGCAACAACAGUUCAUGCUGCCAAGUCCACAUCAGCAUUCUUUGGACCCCUCCAGGAAAGUAGAACUUCAGCAAAAGAAAAAGAUGGAGGAACAAAAUCAGUUUUUGUUCUCAUCCUAUGUGGCUGUAUGCAAUGAGAUGUUGCCAAAACCACAGAGUUGCCUAGCCACUAGCCAGGGACCCCAUCUUUUUAGAGGAAAUGAAAUUUGGAUUCAUUUUUUAAGAAAUCCCCAGGUUCCAUUUCUUAACAACUCUUUUUUUCCAGGUUGAUAAGCGAUAAGAAUACAGGAAGGUUACAUGGGGGAAACAUAUCACAUAAUAAAGAAUGGUCCUUUUUCAAUGAAUAGGUAAGCUGGAUCCUAUAAAAUACAGGGGCAAAAGCUCACGUACAUACUAGCUACACAAUGAGAAAGCUUAAAGAAAACAACUACCAAAGGCAAGUAUGGUCCAAAAGCUUCUGUGAAACCAAACUAGUAUAGCACAUUUCAGAAUCAAAGAAAAUCUUCUGAUUCUUGGGAUUAUUCUGAAACUUGGCAUAUUAGCUACCCUGCCUUGUGAAAUAGCUACUUGAUCAUAUUACAAGUUUUGAUACCCCCAAGUCACAUAUAUUUUGACUUAUAUCGCAGAGAUUNNNN